rnacentral:tRNA from 1 species
GGAGAAUUAGCUCAGCUGGGAGAGCAUCUGCCUUACAAGCAGAGGGUCGGCGGUUCGAACCCGCUAGUCUCCACCA